UCUAAUGUAAAAAACACAUAACGAUCCGGGAGAUAGCUGUGACACUGAAUUUAAACGUAAUAUUUUGUCAGUGUGCGUAGUUCGGCUAAAUAUGGCAGAAACAACAGACCAAAGUGCACCAGCCGGAAGUAUCAAUGCUGAAAAUGGGAUGGGAAUGUCACCUUAUACCAAAAACAGUGCGGAUAUUAGUCGAACUGACAGGAACACUUUCGAAAGUCGUGAUAAACCACUGACUUUCCACGAAAAAGUCCGUUUUAUUUCUCUCCUCGUCUUCAUCCACGCCUCAUUUGCGGUGGCGGUGAUCCUGGCCGCCAUUUACAACCAGUGACGUCAUUUUAUGCUAUGGCAAAGAUGGCGUCUCAGUCUUCCCUAUCCAGGGUUUUUAAUACAAAACAGCUAUUUAGUAGAAUAUAUACUAGUAAGCAUUUUUUUUUUGGAUUAAAUGUGUACACUUUCUCGUGUCUUAUUAUCACAAGAGGACGGCGGCACGACAGAGACGUUAUUACGCGAUCAAGUUUUACAAAUGACAUUUUCUGAACGUACUCUUUUGUAUAACCAUCAAAAACAACAAGGAGGACGUUUUCUGUGGUGUUCAUCAGCUAUUUACCAUCGACCAAUGUCGUCAUAGCAGCAAACGGAAGAUUUUACCAGGGUGUCCAUCAGCUAUUUACCAUAGACCAAUCUCGUCGUCAUAGCAGCAAACGGAAGAUUUUACCAUGGUGUUACGAUUGUUUUGGAUUGUUUAAUCGAAGUCGGAAUGAUGACACGGAGAAAUAAUGCUUUGUUCCAAUUGAUGAUAUUGUAUUCAAUAAGUCCUCCGAUUGAUAAGCACAAUAUAACAAAGUGGAAUUUAUACAAAUAAUACCUAUGAAUUUUCCUGGGGAGUACACUGGUAAUUUGAGCGGAACCUCUCCAGUCGGAAACCUGACUCGGUCGAAUAUCUUUUCUUACAAUUCAUAUACUUCAAUUUAUACAUAAGAUAGGUGUCCACGUUUCUGGGUGUAGCACGUGUCACUAAUUUUAGAACAUCACAUAAAACUGUAUCUAUGUAGAAGAUGUCAGAUUGCCUAAAGCUUAUACGUCUUAUUCGACUUCACCGGUGCAGGUAUUUGUAUCGCUAGCUUAGAGUAAACAGGAAGAUAAUAAUAUACAGUAAUGAUAAACAACAACAUCUGACAUGUAAAAGGACUACCAAUCACAAAUUUAUUGUUGAAACCAGCAGAUGGUAUGGUAUUGAUUAUAAUGAAAGAAAAUGUCCACACUGUAAUUAUACAACAGUCAGCAAAUUGGUGACAGAUUCCAUUACUUACAACAGUCAGCAAAUUGGUGACAGAUUCCAUUACUUGUCUGAGUGUCCGCACUGUCUGUGCAUAGAGUUUUAUAUAUAGAUAAAUAUUUUUGGACGAGACCAAAUGCAAUUCAGUUCUAUGAAUUAAUGAAUACUACUAAUAUAAAAACACUGAAGACACUUUGUACUUUUAUCAGAAUAAUUAAUAACAACAUUUGUCCUCCUUGAUUUAUUAUGAAACAGUACUGUGUACUACCGACUACGAACACUACAAUUACUAUAUAUUAUAUUGUAAAGAUAUUUCUCUAUACGUUGUAUUGAGAAAGAGAAUAGAGUUGUAUUUAAUUGAGUUGAACAUGAUUGAUGCGAUUGAGAUUUGACCAGAACGAAAUAUUGUCAGGUAGACGUUAGUUAUAAUUAAGUUGUAAAUAAUAGCAAUUUCUUUGAAACAAUUUGACAUUAUAAAAUAUAAUGAAACAGUUAAAUAAGAUUGAGAUGUAUAAUGUUCUAAAAAAUAAUAAAAAGGUCCAUUUGAAUUUGUUUCUAUUUUUUACAAUUUCACACUGUAAUAUAUGUCUUAAAACUGUAUAUGGUUGAUGUAAUAUAGCAUGUCUUAGGUAGUAUAUGUCACAAUAAUGUAUCAUAAUUUGUCACAGUACAGUAUAUAUAUAUUACACCACAAUCGAUUAUAUUCCUUUGUAUUUUGUUCAUCAGAAAAACUUUGUUUUUAUAAAGGUUUAUGGGUGGAAUUACGUGGUGAAAACUCAAGCCGUAGACAUGGAUACUAUAUCAUAAUGUAUGCUACAUUUCAUUUCAGGAACGGGAGUUUUUAUUUAAGUGGGAACAAUUUAAGUUGAUGUCCCCUGAGUUUGCUGAACCUUGACGAUGAAUACAGGUAAGCUUUGGUGUAUUGGUGAGACAUGGUACUAGAGACGUGGGUUCGACAAUCACAAACAUCUAGUACUCUUCUUUAGUUCGCCCGAAGUGGUGUAUAACUAGAGCGUGGCUUUAUGUAAAUAUCUACCUGUUGUACAUGUACAGGUAAACAAACCUGCCACACCUGGGUAAAGUAAAGAGGUAAAAAUCAACCGUCAGUCCAAAAUGGCGACGACCAGACCAGAAUUUCAGACGCAGGUGGUGUUUACAGUGUCCAGAGACAGUGUCAGAGACUCCGUGGCAGUGGACAAUGAGCAGGCGGGAGUGUAUGGCUCGCACGUUAAAAAGCUACAGGACAUUGAGCCUUUGAGCUCUAAGGAAAAGAUGAAGGCCGUUUUCCUGUUCGCGUUCCCAGUUGUCUUUUUCGUCAUAGCCGUCAUCCUUACUGCCUUAAACACGCCAUAGACACUUACAGCAGAAAUCAUGUUUACCUCCAAAACUCAGCAGAUGACAUCCUAUAUAGCUAACCGCCAUAGACUCUUACAGCAGAAACGUUAACGAGGCUUACCACAAAAACUCAGCAGACGACAUCCUUAAAACCGCCAUAAGUACACCCGGAGAUAUGUGCAAUAGACAUUAGCGUUACCGCCAUACACAUCUAUAGCAGACGUUAUUCUUACGAUCAUAAUUAAGCAUCUGACGUGAUCAUAACUGCAAUAAAAAGCAGAUGUCUUCCUCGCUAGACAUCUGCAGCAAACGUCAUCCUUACCGCAAUUAAUAGAGACGACAUCAUACGUUCGUGAUAACACUCCAUAGAUAUCCUUAAUUAUCAUGCUUUCUCCAUCUUACAUUUAUCCCUUUCAAGCUUACAUCACACAAGAAAGUACCCUGUACAUAUUUAUUUCUUUCAAAUACUAAUGGAAUGUACCUGAUAGUCGCAUGAAAAUUGGAAUCCUGGUCGAACUCAGAUAUCCAAGUUUGAAACUCCAUACUUGUUGGCUCGUUGUGAUAUACAGCGCCAGAGAAAGGAUCAAAUACGACUGACUUAAAUGGGAUGAAGACAAACUGUAGGAGGGACAUCAGUUGACAUUUUCAUGUUUAUUUUAUACCAUCAUCAACUAUUGACAAAAUAAAUAUAUAUAUCUCAAUAUUAUAGAACUCUUUCAUGCACAGGGUUGUAGGAUAAAGAAAAUCAACCAGAGGGGUUUUCAAAUUUGGUAAAAAACCCAGGCUUUUGCCAAAUUUGAAAAUCCGGAGGGUGGAAUUUCCCUAUACUAUACCCUUGGGCAUGAAAGGGUAUUUUUCUCUCAUUCCAACCACCAGAACAAGCUCGGAAACCAUGACAAAUGCGUUUAUACUGGCUACCAUUUUGAAAAUAUCAAUCACCACCCCCAAGCUUUUCAGACAGCUCCAUCUUACACACGGGGAAAUGAGAGAAAAACUAUUAUUAAUCAUAAUUAAAGACCAAUAAAAAGAGAAACAACAA
rnacentral:lncRNA from 1 species